rnacentral:tRNA from 1 species
AGGGCUAUAGCUCAGUUGGUAGAGCACCUCGUUUAGAGCACCUCGUUUACACACCGAGAAGGUCUACGGUUCGAGUCCGUAUAGCCCUA